rnacentral:rRNA from 1 species
GAUCCUGGCUCAGGAUGAACGCUGGCGGCGUGCUUAACACAUGCAAGUCGAACGGUGAAGCCUAGCUUGCUUGGUGGAUCAGUGGCGAACGGGUGAGUAACACGUGAGCAACCUGCCCUGGACUCUGGGAUAAGCGCUGGAAACGGCGUCUAAUACUGGAUAUGAGCCUCUUCCGCAUGGUGGGGGUUGGAAAGAUUUUUUGGUCUGGGAUGGGCUCGCGGCCUAUCAGCUUGUUGGUGAGGUAAUGGCUCACCAAGGCGUCGACGGGUAGCCGGCCUGAGAGGGUGACCGGCCAACCUGGGACUGAGACCCGGCCCAGACUCCUACGGGAGGCAGCAGUGGGGAAUAUUGCACAAUGGGCGGAAGCCUGAUGCAGCAACGCCGCGUGAGGGACGACGGCCUUCGGGUUGUAAACCUCUUUUAGCAGGGAAGAAGCGAAAGUGACGGUACCUGAAGAAAAAGCGCCGGCUAACUACGUGCCAGCAGCCGCGGUAAUACGUAGGGCGCAAGCGUUAUCCGGAAUUAUUGGGCGUAAAGAGCUCGUAGGCGGUUUGUCGCGUCUGCUGUGAAAUCCCGAGGCUCAACCUCGGGCCUGCAGUGGGUACGGGCAGACUAGAGUGCGGUAGGGGAGAUUGGAAUU